AAAUCUGUUACCUUCAAUCCGGCAUUCAUUAGAGAAACCAUAGGGGACGUGAAACCAGAUGAUUAUACAACUGGAGUAUGGGCAGAUAACAAUCUGGCAAUCUUGGAGUUGAAUACACCAGUUGAAAUGAGUGAUUGUAGAAGUCCUAUAUGUUUACCAGAUGCUAAUAAUGAUAACGAUCAAUGGAUCGAAAAACAGUGCAAAAUAGCUGCAUGGGGACAGUCAGAGUCAGCACCAGAUGCUGGACUUUCUGCAAGCCUGCGUCAUGCCAACGUUACAUUAUACAACAAACAAAUCUGCUCUAUACUCAGCCAAUCAGAAUCCCAACCUGCUGGUACGUCAUGUGGUCGGGUCAGUCUAGAAAAUGGCAUUUGUUUGGGUGAUAAUGGUGGAAUGGUCAUGUGUAAAAAUGAAGCAGGAGGUGUUUGGGAGCUGUAUGGUUUGAUAUCUAUACCAACUUACAGUGCAACAUGUAAUCCGGCUAAUAACGCUCCAAUCACUUUUGCUGAUACCAGUUCUCCAGACGUUAGAGAUUGGAUCGCCGAUGUUACCUCCCAGUGAUCUAC